GAUGAACGCUAGCUCCAGGCUUAACACAUGCAAGUCGAGGGGAAACGACAUCGCAAGCUUGCUUUUGAUGGGCGUCGACCGGCGCACGGGUGAGUAACGCGUAUCCAACCUGCCCAUCACUUGGGAAUAACCUUGCGAAAGUAAGACUAAUACCCAAUGACAUCCCACGAAGACAUCUGAAUGGGAUUAAAGAUUUAUCGGUGAUGGAUGGGGAUGCGUCUGAUUAGCUUGUUGGCGGGGUAACGGCCCACCAAGGCAACGAUCAGUAGGGGUUCUGAGAGGAAGGUCCCCCACAUUGGAACUGAGACACGGUCCAAACUCCUACGGGAGGCAGCAGUGAGGAAUAUUGGUCAAGGGGCGAGAGCCUGAACCAGCCAAGUAGCGUGCAGGAGGACGGCCCUAGGGGUUGUAAACUGCUUUUAUAAGGGAAUAAAGUGGGUCUCGUGAGACUUUUUGCAUGUACCUUAUGAAUAAGGACCGGCUAAUUCCGUG
rnacentral:rRNA from 1 species